AAAGUUCCUGCCUUUGUUCUUGUUGAAAGCUUCCGCUUGUCUCAGGAGCAUCAAUUACUCACAACUUGGUCACACUCAGGAAAAGAGGAAGAGAAGUGGACUCAAUUUAUGGGAAGUUUCUAUGUGCAACUACCAUGAACAGGAAAUGAAUGGAAGAAUAGAAUCUCUAUCUGCAAAAAUGUAUCUUGGUUUACCUUCUAGAUCACAGUGACUGUAGCUCCAUAUAGAAAUGAUUUCCCCAAUACAUCUGAAAAGGAAACUUGAGAAGGAAAAG
ensembl:lncRNA